rnacentral:rRNA from 1 species
GUGUCAGCAGCCGCGGUAAGACGAACCGUGCGAACGUUGUUCGGAAUCACUGGGCUUAAAGGGCGCGUAGGCGGGCAACCAAGUCUGAGGUGAAAGCCUCCAGCUUAACUGGAGAAGUGCCUUGGAUACUGGCUGCCUCGAGGAUGGUAGGGGCAUCUGGAACUAGCGGUGGAGCGGUGAAAUGCGUUGAUAUCGCUAGGAACUCCGGUGGCGAAGGCGAGGUGCUGGACCAUUUCUGACGCUGAGGCGCGAAAGCCAGGGGAGCGAACGGGAUUAGAUACCCCUGUAGUCC